CCGUGCUCUUGGGCUUCUCUCUGACCAGGUUCUGGAGGCUGGGAAGUCCAAGGGCGAGGGGCUGGCAUCUGGUAAAGGCCUUCUUGCCACACCAUUCCAUGGGGGAAGAUGGAAGAGCAAGAGGACACACAGCAAGAGACAGCUAAAUUCAUUUUUACAACACAUGCUCAUGAUAACGAACCCACUCUGAUAAUGACAUUAAUGCAUUC
rnacentral:lncRNA from 10 species